GAACCCGUGGCGCAGUGGUAGCGCGUGUGAUUCCAGCUGCCUGUUUGGCAGUCGUCCACAAGGUCAUCCGUUCAAUCCGGGUCGGGUUCA